AUGGUGGGCGCUGGUCGGGAGCGUGGUCUGAGGUCUUCCAUUCCAGACGCACCUCUCCGCCAAGCGUUGCUGGACAGUAUGGCCACACCGCCGGGCCCUUCUUCGUCGACCGCGGUGCCCAGCAGGGGACAAGCUCGAGGUAGGAAGAGAGGAGGUGGGGCACGUGGUCGUGGGAGAGGAGGUAGGGCUACGGCGCCUUCCUCGCCGCCACCCCCGGCUAUUUCACCCGAGCACGUGACUGCUAGGGUGGACUCGUCCGAGGAGGGGCUACACGGACUCCGGUCCACGAGCCUCCGGUCCACGGGUCUUGGGCCCACGAGCCUCGGGUCGACUGGCCUUCGGCCCACGAGAGUUCGGCCCACGUGA
rnacentral:rRNA from 1 species